AUUGAACGCUGGCGGCAGGCCUAACACAUGCAAGUCGAGCGAGCGGCGGACGGGUGCGUACUGUAUGGGGACUGCCCGUUAGAGGGGGAUAACUACUGGAAACGGUAUCUAAAACCACAUUCUAUCCGAUUCGCCAUAUGGGAUUAGCUAGUAGGUGAGGUAAUGGCUCACCUAGGCGACGAUCCCUAGCUGGUCUGAGAGGAUGAUCAGCCACACUGGGACUGAGACACGGCCCAGACUCCUACGGAGGCAGCAGUGGGGAAUAUUGCACAAUGGGCGCAAGCCUGAUGGAGCCAUGCCGCGUGUAUGAAGAAGGCCCUAGGGUUGUAAAGUACUUUCAGUAGGGAGGCGGUACCGAAAGAAGAAGCACCGGCUAACUCCGUGCCAGCAGCCGCGGUAAUUC
rnacentral:rRNA from 1 species